CACGUAGGGUGCGAGCGUUGUCCGGAAUUAUUGGGCGUAAAGAGCUCGUAGGCGGUGUGUCGCGUCGGCCGUGAAAACCUGCAGCUUAACUGUGGGCUUGCGGUCGAUACGGGCAUCACUGGAGUUCGGCAGGGGAGACUGGAAUUCCUGGUGUAGCGGUGAAAUGCGCAGAUAUCAGGAGGACACCAGUGGCGAAGGCGGGUCUCUGGGCCGAUACUGACGCUGAGGAGCGAAAGCGUGGGGAGCGAACAGG
rnacentral:rRNA from 1 species